rnacentral:rRNA from 1 species
CGGUUUUUUUUGGUUGGGCGUUUUUGGAUAGCUAGGGGAGCUGCUGUGUCUCGGCGGCGGGAGAGCACGCUAGGCGACGGCGGUGGAGGCUAGGCGAGGAGGAGAGGGCUCCUAUGCGUCGGCGUAGGCGGUUGCGGCUAGGCCCGUCUGAGCCGGCAGCACCUAGUGCUCCUAGGCCUACUACCCCGCCGUCUCUACCGGUGCCUAGACAAUGCCGCUGCUGCCGUGGCCUAGGCGUGGGCGUUGUAGGCCUACCUCCGGCCGCUGCUUGGGAUCGGAUCGGUAGUCGUAGCCCUAGGUUGGGGACGAGAGCCACGACCCCGUUCCGUAUACCCCCACGAACGACGGCGCCACCUGGAGCUGCGGCCGCUGUAGACGUCGUAGAGGGAGGACAGCCCGACGUCCUGGACAUGCGGGUUCCAUGCGGAGGAGGAGGAAGGAAAGGGGAGGGAUGGUUCUGACGUCGAACGACUACACAGCUAAUCACCAUCACUACCUAGAUCCUACUCCUAUUUGACCGCUUAUUAGGUAGUACCUAUGCGUCACACUAAUUUAGAGUGACCGUCAGAUGUGUUGUGAACUACCCUCAAACUUUUAUUGUCAGGUAUUAUUUCCCGGCACCACAGAUGAUACUAAAAGUCUUUCCACUCACGUAAACACUUCGAAGGACGUCUCAAAGUGUACUACUCAUCCAUUUACACGACGAACACGUAAAUGGUUCAUCAAUAUAUCCUCUCGUGUGUUCGUUGUCUGAUGUAUCGAACACGAUUAAAGGUACUAUUCAAAAUAGCGUAUACUUGUUCAAUAUAACGGUCAAUUCAAUAAUUAUCUUUAACUCAACGAAUAGUAACUCAUUUUCUGUAAGGAAAUCUCAUAAAUGUCAAAAUAUGAUUAUGAAAUAGUUCCACUAUACGACUUCUAAACACUAAUAGUGUCAUACCGGAAAUGUAACGAAGACAUACUAGACUUGGACAACUCGAGUAGUGUUUCUGGUAUUUUUAACCGAGAUAGGGACUACAGGUUAUUUUUUCCCCUUGAUACCGGAGUCUAGCUUUUUCAAAGAAAAGGAAACACUAAAACGUCGCCCUGAACGAAUACCUCUGCAAGCGAGACCCAGUUUCGAAUUCUCAUAACUACGAAAACUGGUAAAUUAAUCACAAAUCCCCCUCCUAAAGGUGUCAUUGGGACCCGACCAAUUGGAUAAACCUUAUCUUAAGGGACUAAACUUAUAGUUCGUAAGUGUUGAAGUCUUAUGUAACAGAGCUCCGGCCUAGUUCGCGUAGCGGCUACGGUGCUAGCGGCUAGACGGCACGACGAGGAGAGUACACGCGGGAGCUGCGACUGCGGCAGGAUAAAAGGCGUCGGUAGCGGCAGCCCGAGGCGCAGAUGCGCGGGGAAGUUUGGAUGACCUACGUUAGAGCGUAACGCGACAGCAGGCGUGACAGACCGUGGUGGAUACCUGUGUCUUGCUGCCUAGUUCCAAAUUACUGAAACUAGUCCGUUCUAUGUAAGACGGGCGAGUAGAGGGGCACAACGGCGACCCGUCGUAGCUGUGGCCGGAGCUAGUCACAACCCCGUUACCACUUGGUUACUUCUUCGAAUUCCGCCGAGUCCAUCCCACCGUGUGCUAUAACUGUAGCCGGUGCUGGUCGCAGCCUCCUACCCAGUAACCCUGCCUUCCUCCUUCUGUUUCUCCUCCUUCUUCUGCUACUAGUGGUUUAAAAUGGUGGCUAUUUUUUGUACACUGGCUACGUAUCAACGAGAAUAUCAUAGACGAUUUCUUUAACUAUUUUCUACUAUAUAUAAGCAUCCUGAAGUGAGUACAGUGAAUCAGUGGUCAAACUAAAUAAAAGGACAUAAAACGGGUCCGUUGCGUGCCCGUAACAUGAUCGUUGGCCGAGGCCCGGGUCGGAUGUAAUCACCCACACAAUACAUAAGCGUUCCAACACAGGUCAUAUUCUGAAUUAAGGAACAUUGGUAUUUACACUCGAUCCUUCUUAUUUUAAACACGAGAUAACUUGAAUGACAUCUCGCCUCGUUCUGCUAGCUUCUCUCCCUCCCUAAUGUUUAUAAAGUUAGUACCGUCUCAAUCUUCAUCUUGUUCGUUACAUCUACCUGUUGAUACGAAAGAAUUCUCAUAGAUAAAAAAC